rnacentral:lncRNA from 1 species
UGAUGAAUUAAUUUAUUACAACUUUUGCAUAAGGUUAACCAUCAAUCGAAUUGAUGAUUAAGCCCUUGAACGAUUCUCAAUCAUUGAUUAGCCACAUGAUCAGUCAAAAACUUUUUUUGAGUGUGAUUCCAUAGGUUUGAAUCUAAGCUGAUGGUAUAAAAAUAACUUUUUGAAUCAAUCGAUGUAAUCAUCUAGCAAUGGUGAUCCGACGUCCGG